rnacentral:piRNA from 1 species
UCUAAAGGUGCUACCAUUUCCAAGAAGGGC